UUUCAGCGCAGCAGUGGCUGUUGGGUAAGUUCAAAGGUCAAUGCAUAUAAACAUUGCGCAUUCCCAGGAUCAUGGUGGUGAAGUACGGACAAGUUUGCUUGUAGAACCAGGAACGAUUAUAGCAGUUUCUUUGUGCAAGGAUUAGUACCAGUGACAGGGAGAGUGGAGGAGCUUCGUGCGUUAGUGCACGGUGGUGAGUUCUUCAGUGUACCAGUAAAACUCACGGCAAAAGAAGAGAACCAACUCAAACAGAUCGGUUUAUUGAUUGUCGACGGCAUCGUCUCACCCGAUUCACUCGCCGGCCUCCCGAACGGUUCGCUCGGUAAGUUACUGCAUUUAUAAGAGAUCUAUAGAUUAAGCUUAUCACAGUCUGGCACUUCUAAUGCUUUUUUCUUUUUUCUUUUUUUUAAUUCUGGGACGCAUGUGUCGUGGCUGACGUCACCCAGAAAACUGCACACCGGAAAGGAGAAAGGAAUCCAUCACUGGCCACAGUGCGCGUCCUCCGACAUAUCAGAACAUCUCCUGAGAGGAGACGGACCUGCAGACAGGCUCCUUACAGACGACAGAGAAGGAAAAGCCAACUGAUAGUUCGAUUUACAGUGGUUGAAGGAAGUGUAUUACCAUCCAAUCUCCGCCGAUUCUGUGUAAAAGCUGUCUUUUUAAAAGCAGACUGCACCCCUUCUAUGAACACAUAAGUUUCCACACAAAACUCCUGAGAAUUAAAUGUUUCUGUCUACAGUGUUAAUAAAGUAUUAACUCAAGACUUGCAUUGAAAAGGGACCCACAAAUAUCUCUUGGACUGGAAACCACUACCGAUCACAUGCAGUGUGCCAAAGAGCGGCGCAGUGUUUGGAGCUGUGCAAAAGGAACAGAGGACGAUUCUGCAACAAGACAAGAGUCCCAGUUAGUGACUUUAAUCCACACAAAGGGUUUCUACAAACAUGUCUAAGGAACAACGGCUGAGGGAAAUGCUGAAACUACGUUAUCCAGCUGGUAACGAAGAAGUUCCUGAGCUUAUCGAAAAACUACUCGCACACUAUUACGAAGAAAUUCGUCGUUUAAAAGAAGAGAACGGGCAGUACGCUGCUCGCUUAGACAGAGCAGGUUAUAGGAGAAGUGAGGAAGGUCCCCGUGAUAGAGGUUGACUGUGCUAGAAAGACGAGCUCUACAUGGCAGAAGAAAAAGAAGUGGACACAUGGACAUCUGUCUAAACUGAGAACUACACGCAUGGAUUCAUUUGCAUUUUCACAAAUAAAAGCGUUCACAAAUAGGAAAA